GACGAACGCUGGCGGCGUGCUUAACACAUGCAAGUCACGGGGCCGCAAGGGUAACCGGCGAACGGGUGCGUAACACGUGAGCAACCUACCUCGAUGUGGGGGAGUAGCCGGCCCAACGGCCGGGUAAUACCGCAUACGAUUGUUUUGGGGAGGCCCCAGGACAAGGAAACCUCCGGGGCAUUGAGAGGGGCUCGCGGCCUAUCAGCUAGUUGGCGGUGUAACGGACCACCAAGGCGACGACGGGUAGCUGGUCNGAGAGGAUGGCCAGCCACAUUGGGACUGAGAGAUGGCCCAGACUCCUACGGGAGGCAGCAGUGGGGAAUCUUGCGCAAUGGCCGAAAGGCUGACGCAGCGACGCCGCGUGUGGGAUGAAGCA
rnacentral:rRNA from 1 species